rnacentral:rRNA from 1 species
CGCGUAGGUGGUUCUUCUAAGUCAGAUGUUAAAUCUCCCGGCUUAACUGGGAGCUGUCAUCUGAUACUGCUGGACUUGAGGGUGGUAGAGGGAGGUGGAAUUCCCGGUGUAGUGGUGAAAUGCGUAGAUAUCGGGAGGAACACCAGUGGCGAAAGCGGCCUCCUAGGCCAUUCCUGACACUGAGGCGCGAAAGCGUGGGGAGCGAACAGGAUCAGAUACCCUGGUAGUCCACGCCCUAAACUGUGGAAACUAGGUACAGGGAGUAUCGACCCUUCCUGCGCCGUAGCUAACGCGUUAAGUUUCCCGCCUGGGGACUACGGUCGCAAGACUAAA